UUGUUUUCUUGUGUAUUGCUGUUUCUGUCUUUGUAACUACAUAUAUUGCAGUAGCAGUAUGUUUGAUUCGUGGUAAAAGAAAAGCAUUGCUUAAACCGGAAAAUGAAGAAUACAAUCAGCUGCAGGUAAAACAAAUAUAAACAAAAAGACUUCUGUUAUAUAUAUGAUUGCUAUUUACUCACUAUGCUUAGAAAAACUAUGAUAUAUGAUGUUGAAUGUCCAUUUUUUAAUGUAUGUGCAUCUCAAACUCCUUAUAUAUAAUGAAGAGUAAUCUACCUUGAACUUUAUUUUUAAUCAGUUAUAUCAAUCAAUCUCGUCGUUUUGAUUAUUUAUUUAAAGAAUACAACACAAACACAAGAAAGAAUCGUGUAAGAUUUUAGAAUUGCUGAAACAAGCCAAAAUUGAUAAAACAUCCAUUCUGCAAGUAGUUACAUGCACUUUGCACCUCUUUUCAAAUUUAAAUGCGUCGAUUAAAGUUUGUUCUCGAAUUCAAAAUUACCCGUAGACAUUAUUAAUGCGAAAUUCGUAAUACAGAUGAAUAAGUUCGGCCAACAUCACUAGACUAUACAAAGGUUGUGAGUGGGGAUCGUAUGUUCUGAACAAUCUUCGAAACCAAAAAAAUGUUCAAAAGAUAAAGACAAAGACCAACUACUAGGAACACCACGAAAAAAAAAAAACCUGCAGAGACUUAAAUAUGUGGGCAUUUUCAAUAUGCCAACGCUAGGGACAGACAUUUUGCCUUGGAACAAAUUACAAAAAUAUCACAAACGCUGACAAAAUAAAAUUAGUUGUUGCAAACGAACUAAUUAAAGAUAAAAACAAAACAAUACAAAUAUAACUCUUCCAAUGGAUUUAAAGUUCCCUUUUCAAUCAGACAAGGCAAAACAAGCCACAAAUUGUAGUAGCAUGUCAAACAAUUAAAACCUUAGAGAACAGUUGAGACAUACUAUAAAUCUUCACAACAUAAAUUAACUCUGAUAAUAUUAAUUUAGUACAUGUAUGGAAAUAUCACCAUUCAAGUAAUCUACAAAUUUAAAAUAUAAAGCAUUGUUUAACUGUUGUUUUAAUUACACACUGCGCUCAUCAGGGCCGUAACUACCUAUGAGGCAGGGGAGGCAACUGCCUCCCCUGAAUUUUCUACACCAAAAUUUUUUUUUGAAGUAAUAAAAUGAAAUAUUGACAAUAUGUACACGAAGAACUUGAAUUUAUAUUAUAAACUAUACAAGUUAACAGUUUUAACACUGUUAUCAUGAUACGUGAUAUAUCUGUCAUUUUCCGGAUUUUUGAUCGAAAGUGAACCGUUUCAGUAUAUUUUUUUUUUCGUGUGGCCGUCCGUCUGUUAUUCAGUAUUAUAACACAUAUGAAACUUUGCUUUCGACAAUUUUGAAUAAACUUAACUAUUCACAUUUAUGUAGGGGCUCCAUUAAGCAGAGGAAGUUCCCUUUGUAUUGUGAAUCUUUUGUGAUAUCUGAAAUUCGUUACCGGCUGAAUCAGCUGUUGGGUCAUUUUGUAACGUCUCCCGGCCGAUCGUACGAGAACAGUAUGGUCAAUGCCUUAGUAGUUAAACACUCCAAUUCGUUGAAGCAGAGACUUUCUAAACUAAGGAUAUACUAGUUUAGAAAGUCCCUGGUUGUAGUUAUAUACAUGUCUGUUCAGUUUUCAACAAUAUUGAAAUUCAAGGUCCUCGACAAAAAAAAAUAUCUUGCUUUCUAUGAUCUUGCUUUAUAUGUUUUUUUUAACUGACCAGUUUGAUUUCUAACAAAAAUAUCUUAAAAUACAGAUACUAAUUGUUUGCAUAAAAAUUGCUUCCAGGAUCCAGCAAUACUGAUGUUUCUUAAACAUGUUAAAGUAAGUAAAUCGAAGGAAACGGGUCAUUUUUAGCCAUUUUACUGCGAGAAGAAAAUCAGCGGCCCCAAACCCCUGCCUCCCCUGAAGUCGAACCCUAGUUACGGCCCUGCUCAUGCAAGUCAACUGUUCGUUAUCUUCAAUAUGAAUGAAGCAGAAUGGUUAUGUUGAGUUUCUUAAAAUUGUGGCGUUCAAAUUAUAUCGCACAAUCAAUUAAAAUUCUAACACUACACGUCUACCAAAAUAUGAAUUGACUAACCACUCAGUCUACCACGGGAUACUUUAACUUGAUGUAUUUGUUAUUGCAGAUCAUGUUGAAUUCACUACCACUGUAACAGUAAUUUAAAACACCACGAUCUGCUUCAGGAUUUUUAUUGAUAUCG
rnacentral:lncRNA from 1 species